rnacentral:rRNA from 1 species
AGUGAACGCUGGCGGUAGGCCUAACACAUGCAAGUCGAACGGCAGCACAGGAGAGCUUGCUCUCUGGGUGGCGAGUGGCGGACGGGUGAGGAAUACAUCGGAAUCUACUCUGUCGUGGGGGAUAACGUAGGGAAACUUACGCUAAUACCGCAUACGACCUACGGGUGAAAGCAGGGGACCUUCGGGCCUUGCGCGAGUAAAUGAGCCGAUGUCGGAUUAGCAAGUUGGCGGGGUAAAGGCCCACCAAGGCGACGAUCCGUAGCUGGUCUGAGAGGAUGAUGAGCCACAAUGGACAUGAGACACGGUCCAGCAUCCUACGGGAGGCAGCAGUGGGGAAUAUUGGACAAUGGGCGCAAGCCUGAUCCAGCCAUACCGCGUGGGUGAAGAAGGCCUUCGGGUUGUAAAGCCCUUUUGUUGGGAAAGAAAUCCAGCUGGCUAAUACCCGGUUGGGAUGACGGUACCCAAAGAAUAAGCACCGGCUAACUUCGUGCCAGCCGCCGCGGUAA